CAGUCGCCACGGGAAUACGAGGGGGGCAAGCGUUGUUCGGAAUUAUUGGGCGUAAAGGGUGCGUAGGCGGUUUCGUAAGUCUUAUGUGAAAUCUAUGGGCUCAACCCAUAGUCUGCAUGGGAAACUGCGAGGCUUGAGGAUGGGAGAGGUGAGUGGAAUUUCCGGUGUAGCGGUGAAAUGCGUAGAUAUCGGAAGGAACACCUGUGGCGAAAGCGGCUCACUGGACCAUUUCUGACGCUGAUGCACGAAAGCUAGGGGAGCAAACAGGAUUAGAGACCCCAGUAGUCCCUGUCUCUUAUAA
rnacentral:rRNA from 1 species